UACGUAGGGAGCGAGCGUUAUCCGGAUUUAUUGGGCGUAAAGCGUUCGUAGGCGAUUUGCUAAGUAUGGAAUUAAAGCCCGAGGCUCAACCUCGGUUCGUUUCAUAAACUGGCAGGAUUGAGUAUGGUAGAGGUAAGUGGAAUUUCUAGUGUAGCGGUGGAAUGCGUAGAUAUUAGAAGGAACACCAGUGGCGAAGGCGACUUACUGGGCCAUUACUGACGCUGAGGAACGAAAGCGUGGGGAGCAAAUAGG
rnacentral:rRNA from 1 species